rnacentral:rRNA from 1 species
UACGGAGGGCGCAAGCGUUGUUCGGAAUCACUGGGCGUAAAGCGCUUGCAGGCGGCUUGGUAAGUCGGGUGUGAAAUCCCGGAGCUCAACUCCGGAACUGCACCCGAUACUGCCUCGCUAGAGUCCCGGAGAGGAUGGCGGAAUUUCCGGUGUAGAGGUGAAAUUCGUAGAUAUCGGAAGGAACACCAGCGGCGAAGGCGGCCAUCUGGACGGUGACUGACGCUCAGAAGCGAAAGCGCGGGGAGCAAACAGG